rnacentral:tRNA from 1 species
UUCUAUCUUUUAUUUAAUAUAUUAUAAUUGUAGGAAAGGACUUUAUAAUAAAAAAAUUUUUUUAAUAAUAAUUU